AAGUCGUAACAAGGUAACCGUAGGUGAACCUGCGGUUGGAUCAUUAGUGGUUUUUACGUAGCGCUGUUGUAGUGUUUCUGUGGGGUGUUUGGUGUUUGCUUAGGGUUUGUUGUUGGUUGUUUGUCUGUUUUUGUGCGAUGUCUUGUGCAUUGUCUUGUGCGAUGUCUUGUGCAUUGCCUUGUGCAUUGCCUUGUGCGGUGCCUGGCAGUACAAACGAUCGACGGCAACACUCGGACCAGACCCAAGCCCUUGCAGACAAUAGACGUCUUUGCUUGCUUUGAUGAAACCAAAUCAAAAACAACUUUUGACAACGGAUCUCUUGGCUCUC
rnacentral:misc_RNA from 1 species